rnacentral:rRNA from 1 species
AAAGCACUUUCAGUAGGGGAGGAAGGUAGUGUAGUUAACACCUGCAUUAUUUGACGUUACCUACAGAAGAAGCACCGGCUAACUCCGUGCCAGCAGCCGCGGUAAUACGGAGGGUGCGAGCGUUAAUCGGAAGUUACUGGGCGUAAAGCGCAUGCAGGCGGCCUGUUAAGUCAGAUGUGAAAGACCCGGGGCUUAACCUCGGAAUUGCAUUUGAAACUGGCAGGCUAGAGUCUUGUAGAGGGGGGUAGGAAUUUCAGGUGUAGCGGUGAAAUGCGUAGAGAUACUGAAGGAAUACCAGUGGCGAAGGCGGCCCCCUGGACAAAGACUGACGCUCAGAUCGCGAAAGCGUGGGGGAGCAAACCAGGAUUAGAUACCCCUGGUAG